rnacentral:misc_RNA from 1 species
GUGAAUCAUCGAAUUUUUGAACGCAAAUUGCACUCCCUGGUAUUCCGGGGAGUAUUCCUGUGUGAGGGUCGUUAGAACAAAAAUCGAAGCGUCUCUCUUUUUUUUAAGGGUGAUCGCUGCGGAAUUUAGCCGUCUUUCAAAUGUUAAUGCAUGUCAAAGUGGCUUAAAAUUCAUCCAUCCGUUACGAUUAAAGCGUAUUUAAGAUCAAUUUUGAUUAAGAACGCGCGAUGAACGUACCAUCUCAUGUAGUACGUUUGACCUGGGUCGCCAGGAUCAUUCGUAUACGAUACUCAAACUUUUU